CGGGGUAUAGCGCAGUCCGGUUAGCGCACCUGGUUUGGGACCAGGGGGUCGCAGGUUCGAAUCCUGCUACCCCGA
rnacentral:tRNA from 2 species